GCUGCUCUGAUAAUCACAUACCUCUACGUGGUGAGCAGCAGGUAACGAUCUAAGGAUCAGGAAUUCGAUGAUCGGCGAAGAUGUGAAG
rnacentral:ribozyme from 1 species